CCUCGCAAAGUCAUACACAAGGCAGAAGAAACAGCAGAAAAAGCAGAACACGGCAUAGAAAGUGAAUCAAAGAAAGUAAAGACAGGUGAGGAAGAAGAGGUGAAGCGGGCGGAGGAAGAAGAGGUGGUAAAGAAGGAGGAAUCAUCAACUUCUGUUGAAGAAAGGGGGCUGUUUAAAGAGGGUUCAAAGAGUAGAGCGAGGCGGAAAAGCAAGCCCAGGAAGAGUAGUUAAGCCAAUCCCUAAUAUUCUCCAUUACAUGUUUAUGUAUAUAGGCUACACAAGAACACAUGAUCGAAAGCCCUCUCUCAACCUUCUGCUCUGGGUUUUGAUCCCUUUGCCGCUCACAUGCUUUUGUCGUUCCAUCGUCCUCGAUGAGGAGUGCAAAAAGAGAAAGUGGGCUUAAAGCCCACUCAAGCUUAAUCGU
rnacentral:lncRNA from 1 species